UACGGAGGGUGCGAGCGUUGUCCGGAAUCACUGGGCGUAAAGGGCGCGUAGGCGGCCUGAUAAGUAGGGGGUGAAAUCCUGCGGCUUAACCGCAGGGCUGCCCUUCUAAACUGUCGGGCUAGAGCACGGUAGAGGCAGAUGGAAUUCCCGGUGUAGCGGUGGAAUGCGCAGAUAUCAGGAAGAACACCCGUGGCGAAGGCGGCUCUCUGGAACGCAACUGACGCUGAGACGCGAAAGCGUGGGAGCAAACAGG
rnacentral:rRNA from 1 species